rnacentral:rRNA from 1 species
UACGGAGGGUGCAAGCGUUAAUCGGAAUUACUGGGCGUAAAGCGCGCGUAGGCGGCUGGGUAAGUCGAUUGUGAAAUCCCCGGGCUCAACCUGGGAAUUGCAGUCGAGACUGCCCGGCUAGAGUGUGGGAGAGGGUGGUGGAAUUCCCGGUGUAGCAGUGAAAUGCGUAGAUAUCGUGAGGAAUACCAGAGGCGAAGGCGGCUCCCUGGACAAUUGCUGACACUCAGGCACGAAAGCGUGGGGAGCAAAAGGG